rnacentral:rRNA from 1 species
UUAGACCUCAAAUCAGUCAGGA